GCCAGGUAUGGUGGUACAUGCCUGUAAUCCCAGCAGCUAGGGAGGCUGAGGCAGGAGGAUCACGAGUUGAAAGCCAGCCUCAGCUACUUAGUGAGGCCCUACAACUUAGACCCUGUCUCAA
rnacentral:sRNA from 1 species